AGGGCGCACGGUGGAUGCCUUGGCACUAAGAGCCGAUGAAGGACGUGACUAACGACGAUAUUCUAGGGGGAGCAGUAAGUACGCAUUGAUCCCUAGGUCUCCGAAUGGGGAAACCCAGCUGCUACUAGCAGUUAUUCAUGAGUGAAUACAUAGCUCAUGUAAAGGUAACGCAGAGAACUGAAACAUCUAAGUACCUGCAGGAAGAGAAAGUAAAAACGAUUUCGUAAGUAGCGGCGAGCGAACGCGAAGAAGGGCAAACCAAGAAGCUUGCUUCUUGGGGUUGUAGGACUGCAACGUGGACUUAAGCAUUAUAGUCGAAUAACCUGGGAAGGUUAAUCAAAGAGGGUAAUAAUCCCGUAGACGAAAUAGCGCUUAUACCUAGCAGUAUCCUGAGUAGGGCUGGACACGCGAAAUCCAGUUUGAAUCCGGGAGGACCAUCUCCCAACCCUAAAUACUCCUUAGUGACCGAUAGUGAACCAGUACCGUGAGGGAAAGGUGAAAAGAACCCCGAGAGGGGAGUGAAAUAGCACCUGAAACCGUGUGCCUACAAGAAGUUCGAGCCCGUUAAUGGGUGAGAGCGUGCCUUUUGUAGAAUGAACCGGCGAGUUACGUUAUGAUGCGAGGUUAAGUUGAAGAGACGGAGCCGUAGGGAAACCGAGUCUGAAUAGGGCGACUUAGUAUCAUGAUGUAGACCCGAAACCUAGUGACCUAUCCAUGAGCAGGGUGAAGGUGUGGUAAGACGCACUGGAGGCCCGAACCAGGACACGUUAAAAAGUGUUUGGAUGACUUGUGGAUAGCGGAGAAAUUCCAAACGAACUGGGAGAUAGCUGGUUCUCUCCGAAAUAGCUUUAGGGCUAGCGUCGAAAUGUAAGUGUAUUGGAGGUAGAGCACUGUUUGGGUGAGGGGUCCGUCUAGGAUUACCAAUCUCAGAUAAACUCCGAAUGCUAAUACACAUGUUCGGCAGUCAGACUGCGAGUGCUAAGAUCCGUAGUCGAAAGGGAAACAGCCCAGACCAACAGCUAAGGUCCCAAAAUAUAUGUUAAGUGGAAAAGGAUGUGGGGUUGCACAGACAACUAGGAUGUUAGCUCAGAAGCAGCUAUCAUUCAAAGAGUGCGUAAUAGCUCACUAGUCGAGUGACCCUGCGCCGAAAAUGUACCGGGGCUAAACAUAUUACCGAAGCUUUGGAUUGAUAUUUUAUCAAUGGUAGGAGAGCGUUCUUAACCGCGAUGAAGGUAUACCGUGAGGAGUGCUGGAGCGUUAAGAAGUGAGAAUGCCGGUAUGAGUAGCGCAAGAUAAGUGAGAAUCUUAUCCACCGUAAGACUAAGGUUUCCAGGGGAAGGCUCGUCCGCCCUGGGUUAGUCGGGACCUAAGGCGAGGCCGAAAGGCGUAGUCGAUGGACAACUGGUUGAUAUUCCAGUACUAGAUAUGAUCGUGAUGGAGGGACGCAGUAGGCUAAGAGAUGCCAGUUAAUGGAUUCUGGUCUAAGCAGUGAGGUGUGAGAUGUGUCAAAUGCAUUUCUCUUUAACAUUGAGCUGUGAUGGGGAAGCAACUACGGUUGCGAACUCUCUGAUGUCACACUGCCAAGAAAAGCUUCUAGCGUAAAGUCAUAUCUACCCGUACCGCAAACCGACACAGGUAGUCGAGGCGAGUAGCCUCAGGUGAUCGAGAGAACUCUCGUUAAGGAACUCGGCAAAAUAGCCCCGUAACUUCGGGAGAAGGGGUGCUGGUGUAAAAGCCAGCCGCAGUGAAUAGGCCCAAGCAACUGUUUAUCAAAAACACAGCUCUCUGCUAAACCGCAAGGUGAUGUAUAGGGGGUGACGCCUGCCCGGUGCUGGAAGGUUAAGAGGAGUGCUUAGACGUAAGUCGAAGGUAUGAGUUGAAGCCCCAGUAAACGGCGGCCGUAACUAUAACGGUCCUAAGGUAGCGAAAUUCCUUGUCGGGUAAGUUCCGACCCGCACGAAAGGCGUAAUGAUUUGGGCACUGUCUCAACGAGAGACUCGGUGAAAUUUUAGUACCUGUGAAGAUGCAGGUUACCCGCGACAGGACGGAAAGACCCCAUGGAGCUUUACUGUAGUUUGAUAUUGAGUACCUGUAAGUCAUGUACAGGAUAGGUAGGAGCCAUUGAAAUAGGGACGCUAGUUUCUAUUGAGGCGUUGUUGGGAUACUACCCUUGACUUAUGGUUACUCUAACCCGCUGGCAUAAUCGGCCAGGGAGACAGUGUCUGACGGACAGUUUGACUGGGGCGGUCGCCUCCUAAAGAGUAAUGGAGGCGCGCGAUGGUAGGCUCAGGACGGUUGGAAACCGUCUGUUAGAGUGCAAUGGCAUAAGCCUGCCUGACUGCGAGACUGACGAGUCGAGCAGAGACGAAAGUCGGUCAUAGUGAUCCGGUGGUCCCUCGUGGAAGGGCCAUCGCUCAACGGAUAAAAGGUACG
rnacentral:rRNA from 1 species